rnacentral:rRNA from 1 species
CUCUUAAAGCUGUUCUCAGUCGGACUGCAGUCUGCAACUCGACUGCACGAAGCUGGAAUCGCUAGUAAUCGCGGAUCAGCACGCCGCGGUGAAUACGUUCCCGGGCCUUGUACACACCGCCCGUCACACCAUGGAAGUCUGCAAUGCCCGAAGCCGGUGGCCUAACCACUUAUGUGGAAGGAGCCGUCUAAGGCAGGGCAGAUGACUGGGGGUGAAGUCGUAACAAGGUAGC